CCUACGGGUGGCUGCAGUGAGGAAUAUUGGUCAAUGGGCGAGAGCCUGAACCAGCCAAGUCGCGUGAGGGAAGACGGUCCUAUGGAUUGUAAACCUCUUUUGCCGGGGAGUAAAAUGCGGUAUGUGUACUGCAUUGAGAGUACCUGGAGAAAAAGCAUCGGCUAACUCCGUGCCAGCAGCCGCGGUAAUACGGAGGAUGCGAGCGUUAUCCGGAUUUAUUGGGUUUAAAGGGGGCGAAGGCGGCGGGUUAAGUCAGCGGUAAAAUUUUGGGGCUCAACCCCGAAAUGCCGUUGAAACUGGCAUGCUAGAGUGGACGAGAGGUAUGCGGAAUGCGUGGUGUAGCGGUGAAAUGCAUAGAUAUCACGCAGAACUCCGAUUGCGAAGGCAGCAUGCCGG
rnacentral:rRNA from 1 species